AUGACUCCGCUCCCUGUUUUUAUCCUCCUGUUAUGGAUUUGCUUUUGCAACUCCGAGGAUCGCCUAACACCAGCAAAGCCACUCUCCAUCGGCGACAGGCUCAUCUCAAAUGGUGGCAUCUUUGUUCUUGGCUUCUUCUCCCCAAGAAACUCAACUGCAAACUCAUAUGUUGGCAUAUGGUACCACAACAUCCCCGAGCGAACAUACGUGUGGGUCGCAAACCGCGACAGCCCUAUCACUGGCAGCUCCCCUGGUAAGUUUCUCGUGACCAACAGCUCUGAUCUUGUCUUGUUAGACUCCAAAGGAAGCACUCUUUGGACAACCAGGAACAACAUCACCACUGAAGCCCCCGGAGCUGCUGCCAUACUGCUGGACUCUGGGAACUUGGUCAUCAGGUUGCCGAAUGGCACAGAUAUAUGGCAGAGCUUCCAUCACCCAACCGACACCAUUCUCCCAAAUAUGAGUUUACAGCUGAGCAACAACAACAACCUCUCCACGCACCUCGUUGCCUGGAGGGCCCCUGAUGACCCAUCUACGAGUGACUACUCCUUGGGUGGUGACUCCAGCCUCCAGAUCCUCGUUUGGAAUAGGACGAGGCCAUACUGGCGCAGGGCUGCGCUCGACGGUGUAUUAGUCUUCGCCAUGUAUCAGAGCAAGUCAGGUCCCAUCAUGUCCCAAACAAUUGUGAACAGAGGUGGUGAGUUCUACUUGACGUACACUGUCUCUGAUGGCUCAGCAAGCAUGCGCAUGGUGCUGCACUACACGGGCAUGGUGAAAUUCCUGGCGUGGAACAGCAGCUCAUUAUCUUGGGAUGUUUUCUUUGAGCGCCCUGGUUCUAGCUGUGACCGCUAUGCCUCAUGUGGCCCAUUUGGCUAUUGUGACGCCACACAGGCGGUUGCGACGUGCAAGUGCCUCGAUGGAUUUGAACCUGUUAGUCUUGACUUUUCCCUAGGAUGUCAGAGAAAGAAGGAGCUGAAUUGUGGUCAAGGAGAUAGUUUCAUUACCUUGCUUAACAUGAAGACGCCCGACAAGUUCUUGUACAUCAGGAAUAGAAGCUUUGACAAAUGCGCAGCAGAAUGCAGCCGCAACUGCUCAUGCACUGCAUAUGCUUACGCUAACCUGAGUAAUCUCGGUAUGACUGUAGACCAGUCGAGAUGCUUAGUUUGGAUGGGGGAGCUUGUUGACACAGAGAAGCGUGGUGAUGGUCUUGGGGAGACUCUGUACCUCCGGAUUCCCAGCUCAUCUGUCAGUAAGAAGACUGGUGCACUGAAGAUUGCACUCCCAGUCAUGGCAAGUCUACUGGUACUUGUGUGCAUUUGUCUUGUCUGGAUAUGCAAGUCGAGAGGCAAGCACCAAACCAAGGCACCCAUGAAUUUUGCCAUGUCAGAACAACUGGGCAAUUCUUAUGAACUAUAUGAUCAAAAUUCAGAAUUUCUGUGGAUUAACUUCAAUGACAUCAUCACUGCUACGGAUGGUUUCUCUGACUCCAAUGUGCUUGGAAAAGGAGGCUUUGGCAUAGUAUACAAGGGCACACUGGAAGGUGGCAAGGAAGUUGCUGUUAAAAGGCUUACCAAGUAUUCUGAUCAAGGAAUGGAACAUUUUAGAAAUGAAGCAGUUCUUAUUGCAAAACUGCAGCACAGAAACUUAGUUAGACUUCUUGGUUACUGCAUCCAUGGAGCUGAGAAGCUUCUUAUUUAUGAAUACUUACCCAACAAAAGCUUAGACUACUUCCUAUUUGAUGAUGCUAAAAGAUGUAUGCUUGAUUGGCCAACAAGGUAUAGCAUAAUCAAAGGGGUAGCUAGAGGACUUGUGUACCUCCACCAUGAUUCGAGAAUGACGAUAAUUCACAGAGAUCUCAAAGCAAGCAACAUCUUGUUGGAUGUGGAGAUGAGACCCAAAAUAUCAGAUUUUGGCAUGGCAAGGAUCUUUGGUGACAACCAGCAACAAGCAGAUACUAGACAUGUUGUUGGGACAUACGGUUACAUGUCGCCUGAAUAUGCGAUGGAAGGCAUUUUCUCUGUCAAGUCCGACACAUAUAGCUAUGGGGUCUUGCUACUGGAGAUUGUAAGUGGGUUGAAGAUCAGCUCACGUCCCUAUCUUAUGAGAGACUUCCCGAACCUCAUAGAUUAUGCUUGGAACUUACUGGAAGAAGGAAAAUCAGGGGAUUUCAUGGACACGGUGCUUCUGAAGAGUUGUUCACUGCGUCAAGUGUCAUUGUGCAUCCACAUAGCAUUAUUGUGUGUUCAGGACAGCCCGGGUGCCAGGCCACUAAUGUCGCUAGUCGUGUCUAUGCUGGACAACGAGGCCAUGCCACUCACGACUCCAAAGCAACCUCUGUAUUUCAUUGGAAGGAGACAUGAAGCAGAAGAAGCGACGGAGGACUCUGUUAACAGCGCGGGCCUGACAACGCUAGUAGGACGCUAG
rnacentral:rRNA from 1 species